GCACCACAAGGCGUGAAGCUUGCGGUUCAAUUGGAGUCAACGCCGGGAACCUUACCGGGGGCGACAGCAGGAUGAAGGCCAGGUUGAUGGUCUUGCUGGACGAGCUGAGAGGAGGCGCAUGGCCGUCGUCAGUUCGUGCCGUGAGGUGUCCUCUUAAGUGAGGUAACGAUCGAGACCCGCGCCCCUUGUUGCUAACAGACUCCAUCGGGGUCUGUGCACACUAGGGGGACCGCCGUCGAUAAGACGGAGGAAGGAGCGGGCCACGGCAGGUCAGUAUGCCCCGAAUCCCCCGGGCCACACGCGAGCUGCAAUGGCAGGGACAAUGGGUGUCGACUCCGAAAGGAGGAGGUAAUCUCUAAACCCUGCCUCAGUUGGGAUCGAGGGCUGAAACCCGUCCUCGUGAAUAUGGAAUGCCUAGUAAUCGCGCGUCAUCAUCGCGCGGUGAAUACGUCCCCGCUCCUUGCACACACCGCCCGUCGUUCCAUCCGAGUGGGGUUUGGGUGAGGCGUAGUCCUUGGUGGCUGCGUCGAACUCAGGUUCCGCAAGGAGGGAA
rnacentral:rRNA from 1 species